UACGGAGGAUCCAAGCGUUAUCCGGAAUCAUUGGGUUUAAAGGGUCCGUAGGCGGUUUUGUAAGUCAGUGGUGAAAGCCCAUCGCUCAACGGUGGAACGGCCAUUGAUACUGCAAGACUUGAAUUAUUGGGAAGUAACUAGAAUAUGUAGUGUAGCGGUGAAAUGCUUAGAGAUUACAUGGAAUACCAAUUGCGAAGGCAGGUUACUACCAAUAUAUUGACGCUGAUGGGCGAAAGCGUGGGGAGCGAACAGG
rnacentral:rRNA from 1 species